rnacentral:rRNA from 1 species
GACGUAGGGCGCGAGCGUUGUCCGGAUUUAUUGGGCGUAAAGAGCUCGUAGGCGGCUCAUUGCGUCAACCGUGAAAACCAGCAGCUCAACUGUUGGCUUGCGGUUGAUACGGGUGGGCUGGAGUUCGGUAGGGGAGACUGGAAUUCCUGGUGUAGCGGUGAAAUGCGCAGAUAUCAGGAGGAACACCGAUGGCGAAGGCAGGUCUCUGGGCAUUAACUGACGCUGAGGAGCGAAAGCAUGGGGAGCGAACAGG